CUGGGGCAGGCCCAAAGCUGGGAGCAGGCUUCUGAGGGUCACUGGAGGAGCAUCUGCUGAGGCCAUGGUUUGGGGAGUGCUGAUCAUCAACUGGCAUUUUGUCAACCACGUCCACCACAUUGUGUCCCGACAUGCCGGAGGAGGGUGAGUGAGAGCUAAGUAACCACACAGCUGCCUGGCGAGGAGCAAGGGGUCACUGUGGGAAACAAGGGAAGGGAAGAAGUAAUAGGGGCUGGCAGGUGGAAGAGAGAGGAGAACCUGUGACUGUCUUUGAUGCUUGCAAAAAGAACUCAAUUUUCCUGAUAUUUAAUGCUUCUCAGGUUAGCACAAUUUAUGAACAGAUUCCUGUUACUUGUUGUUGUAAAAUUACUAUAAGUGUCUGAACAUAAUCCUGUUGUGGAACUGUAUGAACUGUCAAUGAAUUGAACUCCAGAAGGCUGGAAAGUCCAUGAAAGACCCUCAAGAAAUUCAGUGACAUUCAAUAGACUUUGUCUUAUACAAGGUAUUCUAUACUAUAGUAAUGCAUCA
rnacentral:lncRNA from 1 species